rnacentral:rRNA from 1 species
GACGAACGCUGGCGGCGUGCUUAACACAUGCAAGUCGAACGGAAAGGCCCUGCUUUUGUGGGGUGCUCGAGUGGCGAACGGGUGAGUAACACGUGAGUAACCUGCCCUUGACUUUGGGAUAACUUCAGGAAACUGGGGCUAAUACCGGAUAGGAGCUCCUGCUGCAUGGUGGGGGUUGGAAAGUUUCGGCGGUUGGGGAUGGACUCGCGGCUUAUCAGCUUGUUGGUGGGGUAGUGGCUUACCAAGGCUUUGACGGGUAGCCGGCCUGAGAGGGUGACCGGCCACAUUGGGACUGGGGUACGGCCCAGGCUCCUACGGGGGGCAGCCGUGGGGAAUAUUGCACAAUGGGCCGAAGCCUGAUGCAGCAACGCCGCGUUCGGGAUGACGGCCUUCGGGUUGUAAACCGCUUUCGCCUGUGACGAAGCGUGAGUGACGGUAAUGGGUAAAGAAGCACCGGCUAACUACGUG